UCUACACUGUCAGGGAAGAACACCGUCCUCGGGUAGGCAAGCGUCAGUGUCCUAUCCUUGGUCUUCAGGUCCUUACCGGCCCAUGGUCGUAUCAUAGUUUUACAGAAGUUUUUGUGGUAUCCCUAAUUCAAAUAUAUUUCGUAGAUCAGAAUUCAAGAAAAAUAUGUUACUUCUUAUGAAUAUCUUCUGGUCUUCUCCAUUUUAGACUAUUUAAUUAAUACCUAGGAAGUCCAUACUUUCAGUGUCAUUGCGUAUAUGAUCUAGUAUUUUUAUUUUGGGACUUCAGUUAUUCUUACCACUUGUGCAUGGUCCAGUUUAUUUUCAGAAAGGAUUCUAAAAAGUGCCCUACAUUUACCAUGCUAAAGACAUUGGUACUCAAUGAUUGGUGUGUAGCUGCUGACUUAGGUGUAUUAGUUCGCCUUCUCCAGCACACACCAGUUCUGGAGAAUCUUACUCUCCAACUUCAACCUCGUGAGGAAUCUGUAGUUGAAACAGAUGAAAGCUAUAACCUAGCAGAACAGCUGUUGUUACUGAAGCAUCUAAAGGUAGUUGAAAUCAAAUGUUAUAAGGAAGAUGAGGUGGUUCACAAAAUUGUAUCAAUCCUGAGUACCUUUGGAGUACUUCCUGAGCAAAUUGACAUUGAACAAAAUUUCUUUCGGGAUCCAGAAAGCUGCAGUUUUGAGUUCUCAGAUUAAGGUCCAAACUGUGAUGGAUGAUGGAUCUACUACAUCUUAUCAUUUAGAAUGUUGUUGCUGGAACCUGCAGCCAUGGGUUUGCUGUCUUCUGCGUUUUUGGAUUUUAUGUAUCAGUCCGGUUGUAUCAGAAAGUGUAUAAGCCGUAUUGACUUUAUGGAUCCAGUUCGAUGUUGCUCUGUGCACUUAUGUGUGAUGUUUUUAUCUACAGAACCUUA